AGUGAACGCUGGCGGUAGGCCUAAUACAUGCAAGUCGAACGGCAGCACAGUAAGAGCUUGCUCUUACGGGUGGCGAGUGGCGGACGGGUGAGGAAUACAUCGGAAUCUACUUUUUCGUGGGGGAUAACGUAGGGAAACUUACGCUAAUACCGCAUACGACCUACGGGGGAAAGCAGGGGAUCUUCGGACCUUGCGCGAUUGAAUGAGCCGAUGUCGGAUUAGCUAGUUGGCGGGGUAAAGGCCCACCAAGGCGACGAUCCGUAGCUGGUCUGAGAGGAUGAUCAGCCACACUGGAACUGAGACACGGUCCAGACUCCUACGGGAGGCAGCAGUGGGGAAUAUUGGACAAUGGGCGCAAGCCUGAUCCAGCCAUACCGCGUGGGUGAAGAAGGCCUUCGGGUUGUAAAGCCCUUUUGUUGGGAAAGAAAAGCAGCAGGUUAAUACCCCGCUGUUCUGACGGUACCCAAAGAAUAAGCACCGGCUAACUUCGUG
rnacentral:rRNA from 1 species